rnacentral:rRNA from 1 species
CCUGGCUCAGGAUGAACGCUAGCUACAGGCUUAACACAUGCAAGUCAGGGGCAGCAUGUAGGUUGCUUGCAACCUAUGAUGGCGACCGGCGCACGGGUGCGUAACGCGUAUCCAAUCUACCCGUCACUCAGGGAUAGCCUUGCGAAAGUAAGAUUAAUACCUGAUGGCCUCAUGGGGGGCAUCCCCCUUGAGUAAAGAUUCAUCGGUGGCGGAUGUGGAUGCGUCCGAUUAGCUUGACGGCGGGUAACGGCCCACCGUGGCGACGAUCGGUAGGGGUUCUGAGAGGAAGGUCCCCCACACUGGAACUGAGACACGGUCCAGACUCCUACGGGAGGCAGCAGUGAGGAAUAUUGGUCAAUGGCCGUGAGGCUGAACCAGCCAAGUAGCGUGAGGGACGACUGCCCUAUGGGUUGUAAACCUCUUUUGUAUGGGAAUAAAGUGCCGCACGCGUGCGGUUUUGUAUGUACCUUACGAAUAAGCAUCGGCUAAUUCCGUGCC